AUAUAGUUUUGGUCCUAAACUUGCCGUUGUUUUUUAUCAAAAUUACACAUGCAAGCCUCCACACACCAGUGAGAAUGCCCACAUAUCCCUUAACAGACGAACGGAGUAGGUAUCAGGAACGCCCAACCCGCAGCCCACAACACCUUGCCACGCCACACCCACACGGGCCUACAGCAGUGAUUAACAUUAAGGUAUAAGCGAAAGCUUGACUUAGCUAUGAUUACCAAGGGUCGGUUAAUUUCGUGCCAGCCACCGCGGUUAUACGAAAGACCCAAAACAACAGCUCUCGGCGUAAAGCGUGACUAGAGAAAGUUAAAUUUUAAUGAAAAACCACAGCUCAGUCGUAAAACACCCCCGCAUAUUGGAAGCCCACCAACAAAGUGCCGUUAAUCAAAAAACUACUUGACCUCACGAAAGCUAAGAAACAAACUGGGAUUAGAUACCCCACUAUGCCUAGCUAUAAACCAAGGUAGCACAAACACACCCUACCCGCCAGAGAACUACAAGUGAAAAACUUAAAACUCCAAGGACUUGGCGGUGCCCCACAUCAACCUAGAGGAGCCUGUCCUAUAAUCGAUAAUCCACGCUCUACCCAACCAUCUUUCGCCCUCAGCCUAUAUACCGCCGUCGCCAGCCUACCCUCUGAAAGAAGCAUAGUAGGCAAAAUAGUUAUUAACUAACACGUCAGGUCAAGGUGUAGCACAUGAGAUGGAAGAGAUGGGCUACAUUUUCUACCAUAGAAAACACAAACAGCUCAAUGAAACUUGGGCCAAAAGGCGGAUUUAGAAGUAAGACCAACUAGUAUUUUUGUCUUAAACCUGCUCUGGGGCGCGCACACACCGC
rnacentral:ncRNA from 1 species